rnacentral:rRNA from 2 species
UAAGGAAUAUUGGGCAAUGGGCGCAAGCCUGACCCAGCCAUGCCGCGUGAAGGAUGACGGCCCUAUGGGUUGUAAACUUCUUUUGUACGGGAAAAAACCACCGGUCGUGACCGGUGCUGAUGGUACCGUAAGAAUAAGCAUCGGCUAACUCCGUGCCAGCAGCCGCGGUAAUACGGAGGAUGCAAGCGUUAUCCGGAUUCAUUGGGUUUAAAGGGUGCGCAGGCGGAAUAAUAAGUCAGUGGUGAAAUCCUACGGCUCAACUGUAGAACUGCCAUUGAUACUGUUAUUCUUGAGUACACUUGAAGUGGGCGGAAUGUGUCAUGUAGCGGUGAAAUGCUUAGAUAUGACACAGAACACCGAUCGCGAAGGCAGCUCACUAAAUUGUAACUGACGCUCAUGCACGAAAGCGUGGGGAUCAAACAGG